UAUUUAAGCCUAAGAUUCAUUUUGAGUUAAUUAUUAUGAAAGAUAAUGAUCAAGCUAAUAUUUCUCCCCAUACAGAUAUCCAGUUGUUCUAGUGCCAUGUGUCGAAAGGAUUAUUUUCUCUCCAUGGAAUUACCUUGCUGAAAAAUGAAUUGAUCAUGAACAAAUGAAAAGGAAGACUAUCCAAAAGAAAACAUCAGGAAGAUGCUCCAGUUUUCUGGUCACCUGGAGUUCCACCCUCACCUGCUUCUCCUGCUGGCACCUGCUUCUCUGAACGCCACAAACCCUUCUUUGGCCAUCUCAUCACCUUCUGUCAAGUAAACUAGGCAUUCCUCAGACUCUCACAACCGAGACCUCCCUGGUAAGCUCCA
rnacentral:lncRNA from 1 species